rnacentral:rRNA from 1 species
CCUACGGGUGGCUGCAGUGGGGAAUAUUGGACAAUGGGCGAAAGCCUGAUCCAGCCAUGCCGCGUGUGUGAAGAAGGCCUUCGGGUUGUAAAGCACUUUCAGUGGGGAAGAAAGCCUUGGGGCUAAUACCCUCGAGGAAGGACAUCACCCACAGAAGAAGCACCGGCUAACUCCGUGCCAGCAGCCGCGGUAAUACGGAGGGUGCGAGCGUUAAUCGGAAUUACUGGGCGUAAAGCGCGCGUAGGCGGUCUGAUAAGCCGGUUGUGAAAGCCCCGGGCUCAACCUGGGAACGGCAUCCGGAACUGUCAGGCUAGAGUGCAGGAGAGGAAGGUAGAAUUCCCUGUGUAGCGGUGAAAUGCGUAGAGAUCGGGAGGAAUACCAGUGGCGAAGGCGACCUUCUGGACUGACACUGACGCUGAGGUGCGAAAGCGUGGGUAGCAAACAGGAUUAGAUACCCGAGUAGUC